rnacentral:rRNA from 1 species
AGCAGCCGCGGUAAUUCCAGCUCCAAUAGCGUAUAUUAAAGUUGUUGCAGUUAAAAAGCUCGUAGUUGAACUUCGGGAUCAAUUGAUUGGUCAUGCCCUGGUAUGUACUGUUCACAUUGGUUCUCACCUUCUAAUGAACCAUAAUGUCAUUUAUUUGAUGCUAUGGGGAAUUAGGACUGUUACCUUAGAAAAAUUAGAGUGUUUAAAGCAGGCCCACGCUUGAAUACAUUAGCAUGGAAUAAUGAAAUAGGGCGUUCGAUCUUAUUUUGUUGGUUUCUAAGAUUGACGUAAUGAUUAAUAGGGAUAGUUGGGGGCAUUAGUAUUCAAUUGUCAGAGGUGAAAUUCUUGGAUUUAUUGAAGACUAACUACUGCGAAAGCAUUUGCCAAGGUAUGUUUUCAUUAAUCAAGAACGAAAGUUAGGGGAUCGAAGACGAUCAGAUACCGUCGUAGCCUUAACCAUAAACUAUGCCGACUAGGGAUCGGAUGAUUGUAAUUUUUAAUGACUCAUUC